AACGAACGCUGGCGGCAUGCCUAACACAUGCAAGUCGAACGAGACCUUCGGGUCUAGUGGCGCACGGGUGCGUAACGCGUGGGAACCUGCCCUUAGGUUCGGAAUAACUCCCCGACAGGGGUGCUAAUACCGGAUAAUGUCUUCGGACCAAAGAUUUAUCGCCUUUGGAUGGGCCCGCGUUGGAUUAGCUAGUUGGUAGGGUAAAAGCCUACCAAGGCGACGAUCCAUAGCUGGUCUGAGAGGAUGAUCAGCCACACUGGGACUGAGACACGGCCCAGACUCCUACGGGAGGCAGCAGUGGGGAAUAUUGGACAAUGGGCGGAAGCCUGAUCCAGCAAUGCCGCGUGAGUGAUGAAGGCCGUAGGGUUGUAAAGCGCUUUUACCCGGGAUGAUAAUGACAGUACCGGGAGAAUAAGCUCCGGCUAACUCCGUG
rnacentral:rRNA from 1 species